GUGAAUCAUCAAAUUUUUGAACGCAAAUUGCACUCUCUUCUGAGAGUAUGCCUGUUUGAGGGUCAUACUAAAAAAAAUCGACAUCGUAGCUGUUUCGCGAUGGCGUUCGUCGGAAAUUGGGUUAUCUUAAAGCUUUGUUUUAAGCGACUUAUAAUAUUCUUUGCGAUUGCAUGAACGUUUCCAAAUAUUAUUUCUUUACACGUUUAAGGUAUCGAUAUUAUUAGUCGUUGUUGUUAUAUUGAAUAA
rnacentral:misc_RNA from 1 species